UCGUGUAUCUUUCUAUCAUAUAUGUAUAUUUGUGUAUUUAACUUAUUUAAAUUGAUUAAAUAAGAAAUUGAGAAUUGUAUCGAUAUAGAAAGCUUUGCAGCGAUCAAUCAGAGGGAUCGAUCAUCCAUCCAUCCAUCUAUCGUAUCGCUCUGCACUUGUCGAUUGGAAA
rnacentral:ribozyme from 14 species